CUACGGGGCGCAGCAGUGAGGAAUAUUGGUCAAUGGGCGCGAGCCUGAACCAGCCAUCCCGCGUGCAGGAUGACGGCCCUAUGGGUUGUAAACUGCUUUUCUAUGCCAAGAAACCUGAUUACGUGUAAUCAGUUGCCGGUAGCAUAGGAAUAAGCAUCGGCUAACUCCGUGCCAGCAGCCGCGGUAAUACGGAGGAUGCAAGCGUUAUCCGGAUUCAUUGGGUUUAAAGGGUGCGCAGGUGGGCUUGUAAGUCAGUGGUGAAAUGCUGCCGCUUAACGGUAGAACUGCCAUUGAUACUGCGAGUCUUGAGUAUGGUUGAGGUAGGCGGAAUGCGUUGUGUAGCGGUGAAAUGCAUAGAUAUGACACAGAACGCCAAUUGCGAAGGCAGCUUACUAAGCCAUUACUGACGCUGAGGCACGAAAGCGUGGGGAGCGAACAGGAUUAGAUACCCCAGUAGUC
rnacentral:rRNA from 1 species